GAUGAACGCUAGCUACAGGCUUAACACAUGCAAGUCGAGGGGCAGCGGGAUUGAAGCUUGCUUCAAUUGCCGGCGACCGGCGCACGGGUGAGUAACGCGUAUCCAACCUUCCGUACACUCAGGGAUAGCCUUUCGAAAGAAAGAUUAAUACCUGAUGGUAUGAUGAGAUCGCAUGGUAUCAUCAUUAAAGAUUUAUCGGUGUACGAUGGGGAUGCGUUCCAUUAGGUAGUAGGCGGGGUAACGGCCCACCUAGCCUACGAUGGAUAGGGGUUCUGAGAGGAAGGUCCCCCACAUUGGAACUGAGACACGGUCCAAACUCCUACGGGAGGCAGCAGUGAGGAAUAUUGGUCAAUGGACGAGAGUCUGAACCAGCCAAGUAGCGUGAAGGAUGAAGGUCCUACGGAUUGUAAACUUCUUUUAUAAGGGAAUAAAACCUCCCAGUGUGGGAGCUUGUAUGUACCUUAUGAAUAAGCAUCGGCUAACUCCGUGCCAGCAGCCG
rnacentral:rRNA from 1 species